CGUUUUGAAUCAAUCACUUAAAGGAGCAGCCAUAGCAGUCCAUACUGUCAAACGGCAAUCCUAGUGAGGAAGAACACAACUUGCUCAAUUUUAAAGGAAAAAAUUUGGCUGGAACUAUAGUAUUUUCAACUGUUGCGUAGAAAAGCCGUUGGUAUAUUACAUACAUAUUUCGAUAAACGUUUCCCAGAUAAAUUAAGGAACACCAAAAGUUUCUUAAAACGGGGGUCUGAGAUAGCUGGCACUAGAAGAUCUUCAUAUGUAUUAAAAAUCCAACAGGAAACACAGAAAAAAGGGACGACAACAAAGCAGAGCUUGAAAGAACUGGAAAAAGAAAACUGAACAAAAGAAAAAUUAGUAGAUAAAGUCUGCAGUGGCGAUGGACAUUGUGAAACAAAGACAUCAACAAACAUGGGAAAAUGUCAAAGUAAUCAAACCAAUAUGCAAGACAAAAAAGCUGGGUGCCAGUGAAAAUUGUUUUUGAAAACUACCUUGAGACAGCGACAAAACCGCGCGGUGUUUGGGUUGUUUGAGCGUCAGCUCCUCAAUCCUGUUGUCGAGGUUUGAACAUCGAUUGUUAUGCCUGUUUGUUUUCAUUUUGCUGCUACUUUGCUGCGUCAUGAUAAUAAUAUUGAAGCACACACAAAAUUGAAAAAAAUGUGAAAAGAAAACAAAAAUAAGAAGAGGAACCUGUGCGGAAAAUUUUUGUUUUUUUUUCAUUUCUCAUAUGUCGAUAUUUCGGGGACUAAUUGUCCUUUUCCUCAGUGAGUUUUAGUCAUAUAUGGUAAAUUAAACUAAAAGCAAAAGCAAGUAAAUUAACUAAAAGCAAUCUGGACAAAACAUCAUACACAACAGUAGAAUUAACAAUAUAUGUAAUUUAAAUCCA